rnacentral:rRNA from 1 species
CAUACCUAAAACGUUGCUUCGGCGGGAACAGACGGCCCCGUGAAACGGGCCGCCCCCGCCAGAGGACCCCCUAACUCUGUUGCUAUGUGUUUUUUCUGAGUAAACAAGCAAAUAAAUUAAAACUUUCAACAACGGAUCUCUUGGCUCUGGCAUCGAUGAAGAACGCAGCGAAAUGCGAUAAGUAAUGUGAAUUGCAGAAUUCAGUGAAUCAUCGAAUCUUUGAACGCACAUUGCGCCCGCCAGUAUUCUGGCGGGCAUGCCUGUUCGAGCGUCAUUACAACCCUCAGGCCCCCGGGCCUGGCGUUGGGGAUCGGCGAGGCGCCCCCCGCGGGCACGCGCCGUCCCCCAAAUACAGUGGCGGUCCCGCCGCAGCUUCCAUUGCGUAGUAGCUAACACCUCGCAACUGGAGAGCGGCGCGGCCAUGCCGUAAAACACCCAACUUCUGAAUGUUGACCUCGAAUCAGGUAGGAAUACCCGCUGAACUUAAGCAUAUCA